rnacentral:rRNA from 1 species
UUUUCCUACGGGAGGCAGCAGUCGGGAAUAUUGCGCAAUGGAGGAAACUCUGACGCAGUGACGCCGCGUAUAGGAAGAAGGUUUUCGGAUUGUAAACUAUUGUCGUUAGGGAAGAUAAAAGACUGUACCUAAGGAGGAAGCCCCGGCUAACUAUGUGCCAGCAGCCGCGGUAAUACAUAGGGGGCAAGCGUUAUCCGGAUUUAUUGGGUUUAAAGGGUGCGCAGGCGGUCUGUUAAGUCAGCGGUCAAAGCCCGGGGCUCAACCCCGGCCCGCCGUUGAAACUGGCAGUCUCGAGUUGGUGAGAA